GUAGGGAAUAUUAGAAAUGGACGAAAGUCUGAUCUAGCGACACCGCGUGUGCGAAGAAGGCCUUCGGGUUGUAAAGCACUUUUUGGAAGGAAUAGGAAGGAAGGUACUUCCAGAAUAAGUCUCGGCUAACUACGUGCCAGCAGCCGCGGUAACACGUAGGAGGCGAACGUUAUCCGGAUUUACUGGGCGUAAAGCGCGUGUAGGUGGUUUUGUAAGUAGGGCGUGAAAGCUCCUGGCUCAACUAGGAGAGGCCGUUCUAAACUGCAGAGCUAGAGGAUGGUAGAGGGAGGUGGAAUUCCAGGUGUAGCGGUGGAAUGCGCAGAUAUCUGGAGGAACACCAGUGGCGAAGGCGGCCUCCUGGACCAUUCCUGACACUCAGACGCGAAAGCUAGGGUAGCAAACGG
rnacentral:rRNA from 1 species